UACGUGGGGUGCGAGCGUUAAUCGGAAUUACUGGGCGUAAAGCGUGCGCAGGCGGUUUUGUAAGCCAGAUGUGAAAUCCCCGGGCUCAACCUGGGAACUGCAUCUGUGACUGCAUCGCUGGAGUGCGGCAGAGGGGGAUGGAAUUCCGCGUGUAGCAGUGAAAUGCGUAGAUAUGCGGAGGAACACCGAUGGCGAAGGCAAUCCCCUGGGCCUGCACUGACGCUCAUGCACGAAAGCGUGGGGAGCAAACAGG
rnacentral:rRNA from 1 species